CUACCUUUCCGUCCGGGAUAACUAGCCGAAAGGUUAGCUAAUACCAGAUACGCUCAUCGAGCGGCAUCGCUUGAUGAUGAAAGCAGUAAUGCGCGGAUUGAGGAGCCUGCGGCCCAUUAGCUAGUUGGUGAGGUAAUGGCCCACCAAGGCAACGAUGGGUAGCUGGUCUGAGAGGACGACCAGCCACACUGGGACUGAGACACGGCCCAG
rnacentral:rRNA from 1 species